rnacentral:lncRNA from 1 species
GCCUCCAUCUGCAAGGAUUUUAAAUCCUGUGUUUCCUGGUGUAAGAAGGGGAUUUUGAGUUUUUUUUUUUUUUUUUUUUUAAAGCAAGAGAACUUGUACAAUCUCACUAUUAAACUGGGGGAUCUAAGAAAACCACAGAGACAGCUCUCACAUCCUUGGGCUGAGAUGGAGUUUCCUUACUGAAAUAAAUGUUUGUUCAAGUUCAGCCACUGACAAGGUGGCAUGCCCACUGACUUGGUGGUGCUUUUUCCUGUCUGAGCUGAGGCCGCAUCUCACCAGUCUGGAGUGUCCAGGCCCCUCUGUAGUCUGCUCGACUGACCAGGUAAGUCCUGCUCCUGGGUCCCCAUCUAAAGAUGG